GGUUCCUUUCCUAAUUCCUACCAGUUUAUCUAAGUGUGGAGGCCAAGGCCUGAUGAGUCACAGCGUCACAUCUCAGGGCCCUGAAAGUCGCCCUUUCCUGAGACUUCAGACUCCUUCAAGUGCUGCUAACAAGAGAGGAGGCUCCUCCACCACCCACCGGGAAAGAGAAUCAGGAGAGAGAGAGAGGCAUGGGGGAGCCUGACAGGAAGUGAGGAUUCGAGACUUCAAAUGCAAACAUUAUGAAAAACAAGCAACAUCUGCAAACAGGCUUCAUCCGUGCUUCCAAACGAACACAUGGCAAAUCCUGAGAAGAGGCCCUGAGCCCAUCUCGAGGGAGGUGCAAGGCAAGAGGGGACCCAGCUGGUGACUGUCCGUCCUUCUGCCCCCGGAGUUCAUCAGAAACAGUCUGGAAGCCCAAGUGAAGCAAGACACUCAAGGUCAAGGUUUCAGAUUUCUGGUUUAUUUCUUUUUUCUUCAGGAACAAGAAGGGCACAUGAUACUUCUGUGACUUCCCCAAGAUAACCUAAAUUGUAUGAAAGGGAAUGAGGAAAGCGGGCUUCCGUCCAGAGUCAAAAUUCACCCAGUCUUCACCAGCAAAAGAUAUUAGACUGUUCUAGGCCAGGGACAAAUAACCAGUCCACCAUCCGCCGUGAGCCCUCGGCUGCCCACUGCUCCGGCUCUUUCCCAGAACUUUCUCCUCUUCUCUUAAUUUAGCACCAAAAGGGUUAAUAUGUGACGCAGCACAGGGACCUCUGAGACACCUGCCUGGGAUGGGGGGUUCCAUUCGACUGACCUAGGACCCAAGACAUUCAGGAACCUCGAAGCAAACAGGCGACACUCUUUCCCAAGCCGGGAAGAGUAAACAGCAGCAGGAAUCAACAGUCACCAGGGUAUAAUUGUCAUUAGUAUGUAAAUUUUAAAAGCUCAGUCAAAAAUAUCAAUACCUCCCACUUAAUUUAUUACUAUAUAAAGAUGGAUGGUAGUGAAGCACGACAUUGAUUUUCAGAGUCCUUAAAAAAAAAAGGGUGAGGAAGAAAAUUGUCAAAGACAACACAAAAUGCUGUGUCUCAAAAUUAAUCAUUGUGCUUUUUUCAAACACACACACACACACACACACACACACACACACACACAUAAGUCACUGUACAGCAGCCUGUGUAGUUCAAUCUUAUUUGAUUGCCUUUUCUGAAAAUGAAGAAAUGGAAUAGGCCACUUAUGUAAAGAGCCCUCUCGGAAUGGAUUAAAGACGGGUGAGCAUUUUUACUGUAUCGACAGCAAACCAUUAGGUAGCCACACUCCAGCCCGGUCACUGAGAGGAAAUCGAAGAGAAUAGUUCCCCGGCAGGGCCAGGCAAGACAACCUAUCAGUCCAGGUCCUCAGCCAGCCCGGCUGUCACCGAUCAGCCCAAUCCAGGCCCUGCUCCUGUUCCCACUUGUCAUAAUGACACAGUCUCACCAUCCUCAUAUUUGCUAAAAUGUUUUGAAGUAGGAGCAGUCGUGACCACUGAACAAACAAGCCAACUCAUUAUCAGGUUGAAAACUGUUCUGGGAAGCCUGUAACCUAGGGAUUGUGUUUGUGUCGGAAAUGACAUGGAAAUCGGUCUCUAAUCAUCCUCUGUGCCAUUAAAGGAUGGGUCACUUCCCUGCACUUGACAUUUGGAGAUGUUUGCAUUUAUACAGAAGGAGAAGGGGACCGGAGAGGGAGGAUUUUAAGGGAGCAAAACGAAAAAGAAAACAAUAAAGAUGUCGAGAUGUAUUCAUUUUUUCCGUCUGUACUGUCACGCCACUUAUUUUGUUUGGCUUUUGUUUCUGUUUUCAGCCUUUUGGCUGUGUGUCUUUUGAAUAAAGCCGUCUCCUGAUUAAAGCAGAUGAACCUGGGGGUAGCCUAGAUAGGCACUCUGUCACCUAAAGAGUGAAGAUUUCCAAAAGAAUAGAGAUGCUCAUGUUUUAUCAUAAUAAAAGAAGGCUCUUAUUUGUCUCCUAUUUCCUGAAUUCCAGGGCUCUACCUCCCACCCUCUUCGAAGGACCCCGUGAACUGUGGAUGAUUAUCCUGGGUUUUAUUAGAGUAUCUAGGGAAACAUUUGUCUAUAGAGAUGCUCCACCAAGAAUCAGGCUACAAGCCAAGAGCAGUACUUCACAUUCAUCAGACUAGAAAUAUGCAUCUUGUAGAAAAGCAUCUUGUCAAGAGAGCCCCAGUAUCCAAUAAGGGCUGCCUGUCUGGGUCCCUGCUAUCAGAAUGAAAUUUCUGAUUUAUCAGAAUGCUUCCACUGCGUUAAGCAAUAAUAUAGUUCCCCUCCUCGCUUUCCUUACAAAGUAGAGCUGUGGCUCAAAAAUAAACAUCAAGUUACUAGAUGUCUUCCUGCUAUAAUUAGAUUUAAUUCAUUAUCUUUCGUUUCAAUAAAAUCACAGGAAAACACAGGGAUGUAAAUGUGUAGGCUAAUUGCUUAUGGAAAUUCAGGUGCCACACUUGGUAUAAAUUUACCCCUUGCAAGAGAAAAACACAGUUGUGUCAUUAUCGUAGAAUUUUACAACAAUAUGUAAUUAUAGAGAGAAGCAGGUGUAAUUAGCAAGUCUUUCCACGAAGCAGGUAGCAUUCUUGGUUAAAUAUUUACAGCCGUGCAAACAGACGGUAAUAAUGAGAGUUUUCUCAGCCACACAUUUCAGAGCAUCCAACAAAUAUUAUGAAAAGUGGUCAUUAUCAACCCAGCAAGCACCGCUUUGCCUUCUAGCUUGUAAGGAACGCUUCUGCAGAGUUUGCAAGACAAGAAUCCAGGCUGAGUCGGCAGUGCGGUUUCAACAGUGAUGAAAACAAGUAACAAAGAUGCCUUUUCCCCUUGUUGCGGCAGAGAUGAGCAAUUAAAGCUGCAUAUUUAGAGAUGACAUCAGCCAGGAGUCCUGCACAGAGAGAAAAAUUCAUUGCAUUUCCCCGGCCCUUCUUCUUUCUCUUUCUCUUUCCUCUUUCUGUCCAAAGAAACCGUAAAGAUGCCGAAGGCUGCAGGCGAUGCAAACUCCAAACUGCCCACCAAGGGUCAGUCAGACCUGCAGCUGUUGCACAAAAUAAAAUCAACGCAGCUCACCCUGGGCAAACACCCUCUGUGGCUCUUUAUUACCAAAUGAUAUGAACUUUGACCCAACCUGAACAAAAUUUAAUAUUUUUCUGCCAAAUAUUUAAAAAAUUCAUUCUGGAGCUCGUAAGGAGUCAGGGAGUCUGUGAGCCGUAAUUUGACAUCUGAAUUAUUCCGAGGCUAAUACGGAAAGCUAUUCAGAAGCUUAUUUGGAGACGUGUCAAUCAAGAUAUCACUUGUGCAGGGAAGAUGGACUCGGGCUUAGGAGUGUGGCUAGCUUUCAAGGUUCCACAGAAUAAAAGGCAGGCAAGCUCUGAUGAAUAUGUUACGUCUUCAUUCUCGACAAUGACAUUUUUCUUUUCUUGAUAGAAUCUGCAAGACCUAAGAGAGCCGGG